GAAGAAAUAUUUUAUAUUUCAUUGGAAUGCUCGUAUCUAUUUAUAGGAUUAAUUCUAAUAACAUUUCAAAUGUAUAUUAUCGAAGAAUGUCAAUUUAAUGAUUUAGCGACAUCGAAAAGGAAAAAGAUAAAAUUUAUAAUAUUCGUUUUCUUUUGUUGGAUAAACUUUAAUGUCAUUAUUUAUUGAUCAAUACGAUAUCAAAACGAUAUCAAAAUUAAUUCGAUUAUUAGCCGAUUAUUUUAUUUAUCCUGAAUAAUUUUUACGAAUUGUAAAUAUCUAUCUAAUCAACGAGAAAAAGAUCGAUAAUAUUUUAUCGAUCACAGAAAAGUAUCAGAUACCACCAUGAGAUUGUCGGAGGGUCGAUCUCUAAGAAGAUACAUCCUUCGUCAGGAGUCUUUCACGAUCGUGAUCGAUGUAGCGAGCUCGUACUUGCGAAUCUUGGAAGCUGAAUCGAUCGAUAGAUCGAUCGAUUCACGAGCAUGGAAGAGAGUCGGUUAUCCAGUGAUCGAGACGCGUUCCUGUACGAUCUGCGUGAGUUUACGAGCCGUUUCUUGCGCCCUCGGGCUUUAAAAGCGAGGCCAUUCGAACAAGAGAGCAAAAGGGAGAGGGAGAGAGAGAGAGAGAGAGAGAGAGAGAGAGAGAGAGAGAGAGAGAGAGAGAGAGAGAAAGAAAGAAAGAGAAAUCAAAGGCUACCCUUCGAAUGCACUGCUCUCUUUGUGUCUUCUACGGCGACGCAUCGACGCGCACUUGGAAUGUCGCUUUAUCGUAGCGAGAAAAAGAUUUUUAUUUCUGCUAUACUACUCUUUUAUAUCUACAGGUCACGACCCUGGGAAACAGCUGUCCAUUUGUAAGAAGAAGAAGAAGAAGAAGAAGAGGAUGAAGAAGAAGAAGAAGAGGAUGAAGAAGAAGAAGAAGACGAACGUUGGGAGGACGAGGGGAAGAGAGGAGUGAAGACGAAAGGAGAACUCACGACGCCGCCAAAUUUGGUCUCGCGAAUGUUGGCGGAAUUACAGAUCGUCGCCUCCUUCUUGUGUCCUUUCUCUCGACUCUCCUCGUCCCUUUAUGCCAGCCCUUCCUUUCUCUCUCUCUCUCUCUCUCUCUCUCUCUCUCUCUCUCACUCUCUCUGCAACUCUACAACUCUCGAACUUCUUCAAGUUCGAACCUUUUUCGCGAGAGCAAGAAGACGAAAAGUUCAGAGUAUUUCGCGCUAAUUCGUUCGGUCGGCAAGCCGACUGACCAGCCGGAUUCUCUUUCACCCUUUUCUUCGGAGCCAUCAGACGAUUCUCCUCUUUAAAACGUCCGGCCCGCUUUUUGCUGACUUCAAGCGGGAUAUAUUCCGGAGCUUGUCCUCGUCCCGACCAAAAGUACAUUCAAAUUGAGAUUAACUCGAGGACGACGAUCGCGUUAAAAAUCUGCCCGGUGCGCGACGGAUAACGAAGAAACUUACUCUAUAUCGAGAUGUCCCUCUUUUCUGUUACUUCAUGGAACUUAAAUUAAUCACAAUAAGAUUCUAUUAUUUUCCUAUGUCCUUGUUUUAUUUCCAAAAGGGAUAAAUCCAUUUUACAUUUUAACAAUACCAGUUACGAAUUGAUAUUAAA